rnacentral:rRNA from 1 species
CUACCUUUUACAGGGGAAUAGCCCGGAGAAAUUCGGAUUAAUGCUCCAUGGUUUAUAUGAAUGGCAUCAUUUGUAUAAUAAAGAUUUAUCGGUAAAAGAUGGGCAUGCGUAUCAUUAGCUAGUUGGUGUGGUAACGGCAUACCAAGGCGACGAUGAUUAGGGGUCCUGAGAGGGAGAUCCCCCACACUGGUACUGAGACACGGACCAGACUCCUACGGGAGGCAGCAGUGAGGAAUAUUGGUCAAUGGAGGCAACUCUGAACCAGCCAUGCCGCGUGCAGGAUGACGGUCCUAUGGAUUGUAAACUGCUUUUGUACGGGAAGAAAUGUAAUUACGUGUAAUUAUUUGACGGUACCGUAAGAAUAAGGAUCGGCUAACUCCGUGCCAGCAGCCGCGGUAAUACGGAGGAUCCGAGCGUUAUCCGGAAUUAUUGGGUUUAAAGGGUUCGUAGGCGGUUUAGUAAGUCAGUGGUGAAAUCUUAUAGCUUAACUAUAAAAUUGCCGUUGAUACUGCUAAACUUGAAUAGUAUGGAAGUAAUUAGAAUAUGUAGUGUAGCNGGUGAAAAUGCUUNAGAUAUUACAUGGAAUACCAAUUGCGAAGGCAGAUUACUACGUACUUAUUGACGCUGAUGAACGAAAGCGUGGGUAGCGAACAGGAUUAGAUACCCUGGUAGUCCACGCCGUAAACGAUGGAUACUAGCUGUUCGGUUUUCGGACUGAGUGGCUAAGCGAAAGUGAUAAGUAUCCCACCUGGGGAGUACGUUCGCAAGAAUGAAACUCAAAGGAAUUGACGGGGGCCCGCACAAGCGGUGGAGCAUGUGGUUUAAUUCGAUGAUACGCGAGGAACCUUACCAAGGCUUAAAUGUAGAUUGACAGGUUUAGAGAUAGACUUUUCUUCGGACAAUUUACAAGGUGCUGCAUGGUUGUCGUCAGCUCGUGCCGUGAGGUGUCAGGUUAAGUCCUAUAACGAGCGCAACCCCUAUUGUUAGUUGCCAGCGAGUCAUGUCGGGAACUCUAACAAGACUGCCGGUGCAAACCGUGAGGAAGGUGGGGAUGACGUCAAAUCAUCACGGCCCUUACGUCUUGGGCUACACACGUGCUACAAUGGCCAGUACAGAAAGCAGCUACCAGGCAACUGGAUGCGAAUCUCAAAAACUGGUCUCAGUUCGGAUUGGAGUCUGCAACUCGACUCCAUGAAGCUGGAAUCG